rnacentral:rRNA from 1 species
AUUGAACGCUGGCGGCAUGCCUUACACACGCAAGUCGAACGGUAACGGGCCUUCGGGUGCCGACGAGUGGCGAACGGGUGAGUAAUGCAUCGGAACGUACCUUUCAGUGGGGGAUAACGUAGCGAAAGUUACGCUAAUACCGCAUAUUCUGUGCGCAGGAAAGCAGGGGAUCGCAAGACCUUGCGCUGAUUGAGCGGCCGAUGUCAGAUUAGCUAGUUGGUGAGGUAAAGGCUCACCAAGGCGACGAUCUGUAGCGGGUCUGAGAGGAUGAUCCGCCACACUGGAACGGAGACACGGUCCAGACUCCUACGGGAGGCAGCAGUGGGGAAUUUUGGGCAAUGGGGGCAACCCUGAUCCAGCCAGGCCGCGUGAGUGAAGAAGGCCUUCGGGUUGUAAAGCUCUUUCGGCCGGGAAGAAAUCGCAUGGGUUAAUACCCUGUGCGGAUGACGGUACCGGCAUAAGAAGCACCGGCUAACUACGUGCCAGCAGCCGCCGUAAUAC